rnacentral:rRNA from 1 species
CCUACGGGUGACUGCAGUGGGGAAUAUUGCACAAUGGUCGGAACCCUGAUGCAGCGACGCCGCGUGAGGGAUGAAGUAUUUCGGUAUGUUAACUUCUAUCAGCAGGGAAAAAAAUGACGGUACCUGACUAAGAAUCCCCGUCUAACUACGGACCACCAGCCGCGGUAAUACGUAGGGGGCAACCGUUAUCCGGAUGUACUGGGUGUAAAGGGAGCGUAGACGGCAUGGCAAGUCUGAGGGGAAAACCCGGGGACAAACCCCGGGACUGCGUUUGAAACUGGCAGGCUAGAGUGUCGGAGAGGCAAGUGGAAUGCGCAGUGUAGCGGUGAAAUGCGUAGAUAUUAGGAGGAACACCAGUGGCGAAGGCGGCAUGCUGGAUGAUCACUGACGUUGAGGCUCGAAAGCGUGGGGAGCAAACAGGAUUAGAUACCCCUGUAGUC